CGGGUGCACUGAUCCGGCCGGGCCUUUCCCUCUGUGGAACCCCAUGGCCUUCACUGGCUGUGCGGGGGAAACAGGACUUUUACUGUGAAAAAAUUAGAGUGCUCCAGGCAGGCCUAUGCUCGAAUACAUUAGCAUGGAAUAAUAGAAUAGGACGCGUGGUUCUAUUUUGUUGGUUUCUAGGACCGCCGUAAUGAUUAAUAGGGACAGUCGGGGGCAUCAGUAUUCAAUUGUCAGAGGUGAAAUUCUUGGAUCUAUUGAAGACUAACUACUGCGAAAGCAUUUGCCAAGGAUGUUUUCAUUGAUAAGGAACGAAAGUUAGGGGAUCGAAGACGAUCAGAUACCGUCGUAGUCUUAACUAUAAACUAUGCCGACUAGGGAUCGGACGAUGUUAUUUCUUGACGCGUUCGGCACCUUUCGAGAAAUCAAAGUGCUUGGGCUCCAGGGGGAGUAUGGUCGCAAGGCUGAAACUUAAAGAAAUUGACGGAAGGGCACCACCAGGGGUGGAACCUGCGGCUUAAUUUGACUCAACACGGGGAAACUCACCAGGUCCAGACACAACGAGGAUUGACAGAUUGAGAGCUCUUUCUUGAUUUUGUGGGUGGUGGUGCAUGGCCGUUCUUAGUUGGUGGAGUGAUUUGUCUGCUUAAUUGCGAUAACGAACGAGACCUUAACCUGCUAAAUAGCCCGUACUGCUCUGGCAGUUCGCCGGCUUCUUAGAGGGACUAUCGG
rnacentral:rRNA from 1 species